ensembl:lncRNA
UCUUCUUUUUGAGCUGGAGCGGAAGAGCUCAACCUCCGUCCCCUUUUCGGGAAGACCAGGAUAUUUUUAGCCGCCCGGCUCAGGGAGUUGGGAUUUGCCGUGGCCGCCUCUGUCCACCCUCCCCCCCAUCCUGCCUCAGCAUCCCUCAUCCGCAACCUGCACCAGGGCAGGGGGCCGCAUCCUGCCCUGACAACAGCUCUUCUGGGUGCCUGUGUGAUGCCUGCGGUCCCCCGGGGGUCUCUGUGCGAUGCCUGUGGUCACCCAGGGGUCCCUGGCUCUCUUUUGGCAACGGGAAGCGGCAGGUUUGGUGUUAAUUCGGGUGUCAGCUCCGCAGGCAUCACCCCUCCCUUCACACCCGCAGCCGGCUGCUCCCCUCCGCGCUGCGCCGCCCUCACCAGGUCCAUGGAGUGACCCCGUGGGGGGGUCCCUGCACCGGCGCAGCCCCCGGCCGCCGGCCCGGCGCUGAGCGAGGCCGCCGCGAACAUGAGCGACUUCUGGCACAAGCUGGGCUGCUGCGUCGUGGAGAAGCCACAGCCGAAGAAGAGGAGGAGACGGAUCGACCGCUCCAUGAUUGGAGAACCCAUGAACUUCGUCCACCUGACGCACAUCGGCUCCGGAGACAUGGCUGCGGGUGAAGGCCUGCCCAUGACUGGUGCUGUCCAGGAGAUGAGAUCCAAGGGUGGACGGGAGCGACAGUGGAACAACUCCCGGGUCUUGUAGCAUGUGAGUACAGAGCCGUGCGCCCAGCCGUGGCAGCCCCAGCACCCACUGCCCGCCCCGAGCCACCACCACCCGUUAACACACCCGGAGAAGCCGCUGUGGGUGCGGGUCUGUAACCUGGCUGCUUGCACUUUGCAGAUUCCUGUUUUUUUCAGCCCAAACUUAAACUGCCCGAUCCCCCAACCAGAGAAGAAGCCGAUCUCGAGCGCUUUAACCCUGCGGUAAUUUAUGCAGAGCAAUCCUUGCCUGGCUCCCGGUGGCUUUUGGUCGUCAUCCCCCCUGGCAAAUCCCUCCCCGCUGGAGGCGUGGGGUCAGUGGCGCGGGGGGCAAUGGGCACGGCAGCCCCCGCCUCGUGCCCGACCAGCGGAAGGACGCGUGCCAGGAGCUGCCGGGCACAGCCGGGAUGUGCCAAACCCUCCCGGCUUUCCUUGCUCCGUACCUGUGCCUCGGCGCCGGGCCGCGGUGCCUCGCUUGCGCCGGGGGAUCACGGCGGGGCUGCUCCUGGUGCCGAGGCCGGGUCGGUGCCCUCUCGGGAAGGCGCACAACAGCAAAACUGGGAUUAGACCCUGAUGCUUGUGUCUCGUCAGCAGCGGCUCAGCACCGGCACCAUCCACGAGCCUGUGGUGCCUCCAGCCAGCGGUGCCACCACUGGCAAACUGCCACCUUCCUCCUUUUUUAGGAUAUAUAUAUAUUUUUUAAGCUCAAAAACCCAAGCAGGCAGCCUCUGACGCCUCAGAGGAAGGACUGUGGUGUGCUCCCCUCGCGCUGGGGUCACCACCAGGGUUUCACUGGCACUGGCCGAGGCAGGACGGGGCCUGACCAAGAAGGCGCUGGGGCUCCUGAAUUCGGGCACGGGUGUAUAUAGUUUAAAUAGCGCCAGGAUUCAAUAUGAAAUAGCAAAUGCCGGGCAUCACAGGCGGGUGGCAGAGGCUUUCACCCUGCUCCCUGCCACACCGGGAUGCUCCCGUGAGGAACCGGGCUCUUCCAGCCCCGUGGUGUGCUUGGUGUUGGUGAGUGAGUGCCGAUGCUUGGUCCGGUUUUCCCUCCCCUGGGAAAAACAACCCAUCCUUGAAAUAAACCCCUUGUGCUGG